GCUUGCCCCGCGGGGGAGGCCCGCGGCUGUGUCUGCUGCUGGCCCGCGUGCUGUGGCUGUCCAGGGAGUAGUAAGUCCUGCUGUCGGCCGCCGGGCACAGCGGCGGCGAGUCCGAGCGCAGCGCAUCGUGCGCCGCGCGCAGGCCGAGGAAAGGCGUACUCUCGGCCGCCAGCGCACCGUCCGCGUCGUCGUCCGAGCCUGAGGCCGAGCCGCCACCCGAGCCGCUGCUCAGCGACAGCGAGUCCCGCGCCGCGCGUGCGCGCUGCGCCGCCAGCCCGUUGAGGCGCGAGCGGCGCCAGCGCCGGGGCCCCGCCGACGUCCUGCGGGACGCGCCGCGGGCGCGCGGCCGCGGUGGGGGAGGGGGCGCGCACUCCUGCGUGGUCUCGUACUCGUCGUCCUCCGGGAUGCGGAAGGGGCUGGCUGGCAGGCUGCCCAGGCUGCCGCCCAGCGCGCAGGCCCCGCGCCGCGGCCCGGGCCCCGCCGCGGGGUAGUAGUAGCUGUCGUAACUGCGCUGCAUGUCCGCGCCGGGUCCCGGCCCGGGGCCAGGGGGCGCCGGCUGCCGCAGAAGCGGCUGCUGCUCCGCCAGGCGGUAGCUGAUGGGUGCGGCCGGCGGCAGCGACACUGCGUGAGCGGAGUUGGGGGACGUGAUCUCAAAAGUCGGCACCUGCGUGGCCAGCGAGUAGUGGAAGUCCACUGGAGAAAGGCGCGCGGGCGUGGAAAUGGAGUGGCUGUCAGGGGAAGAAGGAAUGCAAUUGUGGCCAUAGGCUCUGUUUCCAUGGACUCUGCAAAAGCUAACUAGGCAAACCAGAAAGCUCCAACCUCACAAGUGGAAGAAAGGAAGGGAAUGGAGUCCUGGAUGGGGACUCAGACCAGAGAGGGCCUGGAGAGAAUCACCAAUCAUCCCUUGAAUCCUCAUUUCCUCUUUUAGUAGGCAGCAAACCCCCAUCCCACCCUAUCCUUGAGCCGCAUAAAUGUCUCUGGCCUCUGGCCUCUGUGGAAACCAGUGCCCUGGGGCUUGUUCUCCCUCAGCAUCCCCUUCCCCACUCUCCCCCAUCGCCCCAAGUCAAAUAAAACAAACUCUGGCCAGACCCAAAGACAGGCUGAGAACUUGUUUGUCUCUCGCAAACGCACCAGCACACACGUGCAUACACUCA